CUCCUUUACUACGGUAACGGUUUUCGCCAACCCGCCAGGACUCCAAAAAGGCUGUCCCUCUUUAUGACAAAAUCGGACAAGGGGAAAUGCACCGGCCGGGGGGUUGGCAGCGAGCCUGGACGGUGGUGGCAGCCACAGCCCCGCGCCCCAGCCGGGCAGCGAACGUGGCGCCAUCCAGCACCUUCCCCGGGAACCACGCGCAGCGUCUCGGCCUCGGCCGCUGCGGAGCUCGGAGCUUGUCUGGACCUGCUGGGAAGAGGGACGGACAUCUCCACGAUGGAGGCCUGCGGGUUGGCUGUGGUUCAUCUGAUUGGACAGCAUCUUACCGUUUGGGGAGUUCAGAUGGGGGAUACCUGUAUACAUGUGGAGGCUCCUACACCACUCCUGUGCCAGCAGUGUCUUGUAACUUCCCACGUACGGAGAAGCUGCCCACCUUCCUAAAGGUGUUGGGGACGUGGAUGGGAGGAGGGCCACCAUCCACAGGCAAGGGCUUUUCCUAACACGGCCAGCCCUCCCUCGUCCACUGAGACCAACUCAACAACAACAACAACAACAAAAAGCACGUGUGGAAAGAGAUGCAAACCAAAGGAUCCUUCAAUGGAGAAAUGUCAGAGGUCUGGACUGACUUUGAGGCACUGACUUUUGUGAUUUACUUAAUGCCAAACAAAGUCAUUGUUAAUUGGCACUUGAAGAAAGAACUGCAUAUAUUGAGAACCAGCACCGUGGCAGGUACUGUCCUCAGUGGUUUACGAACGCUCUUUCAUUGAGCACUCACAACAAACGUGUAAAGAGAAUGUAGUCAUCCUCGGCUUCCAGAUGGGAACCUGAGAGGUGGUAAAUGAUCAUCCUAAAGUUUCCCAGAGUUGUUAGCAAGCGGCAGAGCCUGGGUUCGAAUCCAGCAAUAGCCUAUGUCAGACCCUGUGCCCUCUCCGCGAAACUACCUGGCUUCCCACGUGGUCCGGACAUUCCCAGGAUACACUUCCAUACCUUCCUAGGUACCAGAAGCAGGAAGCACGUUUCCUGUGUGGUCAAAAGCAGCAGGGGUUCCUAAAUUUUAACGUGCGUGCAAAUCACCUGAGGCCUGGCUGAAACGAAGAUCCUGAGGCAGUAGGUCUGGAGUAGGUCCUCAGAACCCUCAUUUUGAACAAGCUACCAGGUGAUGCUGGCACUGCCAGUCCUUGGAUGACACUUUGAGUAGCAAGUGUGAAGGGCAAGACUGGAAUCCAUUAUUAUGGAGUCACAUCUCAGACUUAAAAUAGAAACGUGGACGUAUUUUGCACUCCUACAUCUACCUUUGUCAGAGAUACGUAUCAUAGGUUUUGUUUUGUUUUGUUUUGUUUUGUUUUGUUUUGUUUUGUUUUGUUUUGUUUUGUUUUCCAGUCUGAAGCUUUGCCUUUUCAUGGUGCAUUGAUGGCAUUUUUUUUUUGAAAAGAAGUCUUUCAUUUUGGGGAAAUCUAGUUUCUUUUCUUUUAUGGUUAGUGCGUAUCAUUUUCUAAGGGA
rnacentral:lncRNA from 1 species